GCCCCAGUGGCUUCGGCAUGAUCCACGGAUCCUCCAGUUACCAGGGAGGCCAAGGCGAGCCGUGUGACACGGGGUAGGCCGGAUCCUUGGGGUGUGGCUCUGCGAAUCGGUCAAUCAACAGACACAGGCAACUCCAGCUUCGAACGGGGCUCGGGGGCCUCGGGGCAGCGGGGGAAGGAGACCUGCUGAGCUUGCCGACUUGGACCCGAGUCACCACCUUGGCGUUCGCUGAAACCGCCUCUGAAACUCCGGAUGAAAGGAUACUCAGAUCGAAAAGACAAGUCAAACAACAGCCUCGGUGGGAUGAGGAUUGCGGCUGAUGGAGUUCCGGCUAACUGAAGCAUCCUGCGGAAGGCGGCUUUUGUCCCUGUCGCUCAGCACUGGUUUAACACUGUGUAAGAGAUGUGGGAUGACAUAUACAAGACGAGGUCCCUGCCCUUGAAGAGCCUCCAAUCUAGGAAGAUGGGUGAGAUCAAGACACACGUAAAGCACAGCGGGAAAACAGCAGGGCUCUAGACCAGAGCGUAAUCGCGAGCUUUCAGGGGAGAGGUCUUGCUGAGGGGAUCA